rnacentral:rRNA from 1 species
UACGAAGGGGGCUAGCGUUGCUCGGAAUCACUGGGCGUAAAGGGUGCGUAGGCGGGUUCUUAAGUCAGGGGUGAAAUCCUGGAGCUCAACUCCAGAACUGCCUUUGAUACUGGUGAGCUUGAGUCCGGAAGAGGUGAGUGGAACUGCGAGUGUAGAGGUGAAAUUCGUAGAUAUUCGCAAGAACACCAGUGGCGAAGGCGGCUCACUGGUCCGGUACUGACGCUGAGGUGCGAAAGCGUGGGGAGCAAACAGGG